rnacentral:tRNA from 1 species
GUCCAGGGGCGGGAAUCGAACCCACAACUUUCUGCUUACCGGGCAGGUGCCUUGUCCACUAGGCUACCCUGGA